AGUGAACGCUGGCGGUAGGCCUAACACAUGCAAGUCGAACGGCAGCACAGUAAGAGCUUGCUCUUACGGGUGGCGAGUGGCGGACGGGUGAGGAAUACAUCGGAAUCUACUUUUUCGUGGGGGAUAACGUAGGGAAACUUACGCUAAUACCGCAUACGACCUACGGGUGAAAGCAGGGGAUCUUCGGACCUUGCGCGAUUGAAUGGGCCGAUGUCGGAUUAGCUAGUUGGCGGGGUAAAGGCCCACCAAGGCGACGAUCCGUAGCUGGUCUGAGAGGAUGAUCAGCCACACUGGAACUGAGACACGGUCCAGACUCCUACGGGAGGCAGCAGUGGGGAAUAUUGGACAAUGGGCGCAAGCCUGAUCCAGCCAUACCGCGUGGGUGAAGAAAGCCUUCGGGUUGUAAAGCCCUUUUGUUGGGAAAGAAAAGCAGCAGGUUAAUACCCCGCUGUUCUGACGGUACCCAAAGAAUAAGCACCGGCUAACUUCGUG
rnacentral:rRNA from 1 species